rnacentral:misc_RNA from 1 species
AACAUCGCGCACCUGCGGGAACCUGCGGAAGGAUCAUUAAUGAUUGGUGGCUGUUGCUGACUAGUGUUUCUAGUAUGUGCACGCCACACCUUCAAUCCCACUUACACCUGUGCACCUUCUGUAAUAGAUCUAUGUGGAUACGGAGAUGUGAAAGUUUGCGCUCUCGUACUCUGUUGAAGCAGUCUACUACGUUUUUUUACACACACACAAUAGUCAUUGAAUGUAUUUUUUAUUCUUAUG